GCUGGCUCCUGUUGUGCUGCUUGGUGCACCGGAGAAAGGAGCACGCACUCAGAAACAGGGGAAACAAGCUCAGAUCAAGAGAGCUUUGGAUUCAAAGCAGGAGGCUGGAGAGAAAGGGGAAUUUUGAGGGCAUCGGAAGGGCAAGAAGAGAUAGCUUGACGGAAGCUAUGAGGUCCAGUCAUCUCUGAAACGGUACUUCCAACAAGCCAGCUGAGGCACGCCAAGACAGUAAACUGGAUAUUGAAGGUACUGCCGAGGCACAAUGACAGGACAGAAUGAGCACGGCGUAAAUCCUAAGGAGUGAUUAAAAGAGCUAUUAUGGAAAAUAAGAAAGGGACUAAGCUGGCAAGUCUGAGAACAACUAACUGUGAUUAUAGCAGCUUUCAACAUCACAGUUUCAUAUCUACGAUUUAGAGCAAAAUUAUUCAGUACAACUUGCAACAUUGGGGACUAAGCAAGCAAGCAUAACAUUCCAUGUAUUUGAAACCAAGGGAUUUUCUUUUAGACAAUAUCCAGAAAUAGCCAAGUUUUCUUACCUGCUGCUGGUCAGAAAAAAAAAAAAAGAGCUCAAAAGGCCGCACGCAGACUUUACUCUGAUGUCCAGCUGUGUAAGACCCCCAUCUUAGAAAGGCUGUUCUAAAACUUUUCACAGUGAGAGAAAACAACUAACUUUGAAUGAAAUAACUUCUGUGGAAUGAUGACAUCAACCAACUCCAAACACUACUUGAAACUUGCUGCAGCACAGAGCUGGUGCUUUGUUGACAACCAUUUCCUGAUUCUACUGCAACACUGAAUUAUGUAUUUCAUAAUUCACAUAGUUCCUCAGCACAUCUCCAAUGGGGUCUUUCAAAUGUAGUUUCUCAAAUUCAGAAUAUAUUAUCACUGUCU